AAAACCGAACCGGAUCGAGAAACCGAACCGAACCAGACCGAAAUAGAUUAUGGAGUGGUUAAUAUGGUCUAAAUGGAGUGGUUUGGUUUGAGAGUAUUAAAAUUUACGGUUUUCGGUUCUGGUUUGGUUUUAAGGCUCGGUUAACCGAACCGAACCGAAAACCGAAGUAGUGAAAACGGCUGUGUUUUAAUAGAUUUUUAACAUACUAUAAAUAUCCCCCUUAAAAUCACAAACCCUAAUUUUCCUCACUGUUUUGCCGCUUCUCUCUUUUCAUUUCUUAAACAAGCUUUCACUUCUCUCCAUCUCAUCUUCUCUCAACCAUCCAUUAAAUAUAACUUACAAAAUCUUAUAUUUUGAUUUCUCUCCUUUCUAUUCUCCGGAUCUUCAAGACUUUUGAUAUUUUUCUUUCUAUUUCUAUCGAUCAAAACGACUUCACAUGUUGAGCAUGCUAAAUUUUUUCGUUUUGCUUUUGCUUUUUCGAAUUUUAAAAUUAAUAAAUAUGAUUUAGUGUUAUAUAUAAAUUUUUUUUCCAUAGAUCUAACUUGCUCUUGUUUUAUUUUUGCAGAUCUAGUAGAAAGACAAGAUUAUAGUGUAAAUUUUGUUAAUUUUUUGGAAUCUUUUAAGGAGGUUGUUUGGUAUGGCCAUUAUCUUAUCAAGUUUUAUUCUUUUGAUAAUUUUAUUUACAGUGGAUAAAAUGUAAAGAAAUAUAUGAAAUUGUAGUUAAUGUAAUCAAACCAUAUUUAUGUUUA